UACAGAGGUCCCAAGCGUUGUUCGGAUUCAUUGGGCGUAAAGGGUGCGUAGGUGACGGGGUAAGUCAGAUGUGAAAUCUCGGAGCUCAACUCCGAAACUGCAUUUGAUACUGCCUUGCUUGAGUACUGGAGAGGAGAUUGGAAUUUACGGUGUAGCAGUGAAAUGCGUAGAUAUCGUAAGGAAGACCAGUGGCGAAGGCGAAUCUCUGGACAGUUACUGACACUGAGGCACGAAGGCCAGGGGAGCAAACGGG
rnacentral:rRNA from 1 species